rnacentral:rRNA from 1 species
CCUACGGGUGGCAGCAGUGAGGAAUAUUGGUCAAUGGGCGCGAGCCUGAACCAGCCAAGUAGCGUGAAGGAUGACUGCCCUACGGGUUGUAAACUUCUUUUGUAAAGGAAUAAAGUGAGGCACGUGUGCCUAUUUGUAUGUACUUUAUGAAUAAGGAUCGGCUAACUCCGUGCCAGCAGCCGCGGUAAUACGGAGGAUCCGAGCGUUAUCCGGAUUUAUUGGGUUUAAAGGGAGCGUAGAUGGGUUGUUAAGUCAGUUGUGAAAGGUUGCGGCUCAACCGGGAAAUUGCAAUUAAUACUGGUAGCCUAGAGUACAGUUGAGGUAGGCGGAAUUCGUGGUGUAGCGGUGAAAUGCUUAGAGAUCACGAAGAACUCCGAUUGCGAAGGCAGCUUACUAAACUGCAACUGACAUUGAUGCUCGAAAGUGUGGGUAGCAAACAGGAUUAGAUACCCCAGUAGUC